rnacentral:rRNA from 1 species
AAACAUGUCUUUUUGAUUUUAUUUAAANGUCUGACCUGCCCACUGAAUAAUUUAAAUGGCCGCAGUAUACUAACUGUGCAAAGGUAGCAUAAUCAUUAGUCUUUUAAUUGAAGGCUUGUAUGAAUGGUUGGACGAAAUAUUAACUGUUUCAUAAAAAUUUUUAAUAGAAUUUUAUUUUUUAGUCAAAAAGCUAAAAUAUAUUUAAAAGACGAGAAGACCCUAUAAAUCUUUAUAUUUAUUUUAUAUUAAAUUUAUAGAUUAUUUUUUUUAAUAUAAUUGAAAAUAUUUUAUUGGGGUGAUAUUAAAAUUUAAAAAACUUUUAAUUUAUAAAUACAUAAAUUAAUGAAUUUUUGAUCCAUUAUUAGUGAUUAAAAAAUUAAGUUACUUUAGGGAUAACAGCGUAAUUUUUUUGGAGAGUUCAAAUCGAUAAAAAAGAUUGCGACCUCGAUGUUGGAUUAAGAUAUAAUUUUGGGUGCAGAAGUUCAAAUUUUAAGUCUGUUCGACUUUUAAAUUCUUACA